rnacentral:rRNA from 1 species
GACCUGCGAAGGAUCAUUG